CCCUCCCAGUCCCCUCCCAUCUGUCCCAGUAACCCCCAGCCCAUCCCAGUAACCUCCAGUCCAUCCCAGUAACCCCCAGUCCCUCCCAGUUCCCCCCCAUGCCCUCCCAGUUCCCCCCCAGUGCCCAAAACCCCCUCCCAGUCCAUCCC